rnacentral:SRP_RNA from 1 species
GGGUAAGUCUUAUACGACCAGCUCCUAUCGAAUUCCACCAGGUCCGGAAGGAAGCAAGGGUAGAUGGUUGAGCGGUGCGAUAUAAGUAGCUUACCCAUU